rnacentral:rRNA from 1 species
AGAGUUUGAUCCUGGCUCAGGAACGAACGCUGGCGGCAGGCUUAACACAUGCAAGUCGAGCGCCCCGCGGAGGGGAGCGGCAGACGGGUGAGUAGGCGCGUGGGGAUGUACCCAAAGGUGCGGAAUAACUCAGGGGAAACUUGGAGCUAAUACCGCAUGUGCCCGGAGGAGGGGAAAGAUUUAUCGCCUUUGGGAUCAACCCGCGUCAGGAUUGAGCUAGUUGGUAGGGUAAUGGCCUACCAAGGCGGACGGAUCUGUAGGCUGGGUCUGAGGAGGAUGGAUCAGCCCACACUGGGGACUGAGGACACGGGCCCAGGACUCCUACGGGGAGGCAGCAGUGGGGGAAUAUUGGACAAUGGGCGCAAGCCUGAUCCAGCCAUGCCGCGUGAGUGAUGACGGCCUUAGGGUUGUAGAGCUCUUUGAACAGGGGACGAUAAU